AUUGAACGCUGGCGGCAGGCCUAACACAUGCAAGUCGAGCGGAUGAAGGGAGCUUGCUCCUGGAUUCAGCGGCGGACGGGUGAGUAAUGCCUAGGAAUCUGCCUGGUAGUGGGGGAUAACGUCCGGAAACGGGCGCUAAUACCGCAUACGUCCUGAGGGAGAAAGUGGGGGAUCUUCGGACCUCACGCUAUCAGAUGAGCCUAGGUCGGAUUAGCUAGUUGGUGGGUAAAGGCCUACCAAGGCGACGAUCCGUAACUGGUCUGAGAGGAUGAUCAGUCACACUGGAACUGAGACACGGUCCAGACUCCUACGGGAGGCAGCAGUGGGGAAUAUUGGACAAUGGGCGAAAGCCUGAUCCAGCCAUGCCGCGUGUGUGAAGAAGGUCUUCGGAUUGUAAAGCACUUUAAGUUGGGAGGAAGGGCAGUAAGUUAAUACCUUGCUGCUUUGACGUUACCAACAGAAUAAGCACCGGCUAACUUCGUG
rnacentral:rRNA from 1 species